CCUUCGGGAGGCAGCAGUGGGGAAUAUUGGGCAAUGGGCGCAAGCCUGACCCAGCAACGCCGCGUGAAGGAAGAAGGCUUUCGGGUUGUAAACUUCUUUUGUCAGGGACGAAGCAAGUGACGGUACCUGACGAAUAAGCCACGGCUAACUACGUGCCAGCACCCGCGGUAAUACGUAGGUGGCAAGCGUUAUCCGGAUUUACUGGGUGUAAAGGGCGUGUAGGCGGGACUGCAAGGCAGAUGUGAAAACCACGGGGUCAACCUGUGGCCUGCAUUUGAAACUGGAGUUCUUGAGUACGGGAGAGGCAGACGGAAUGCGUGGUGUAGCGGUGAAAUGCGUAGAUAUUAGGAGGAACACCAGUGGCGAAGGCGGUCUGCUGGACAGCAACUGACGCUGAGGCGCGAAAGCGUGGGGAGCAAACAGGAUUAGAUACCCUUGUAGUC
rnacentral:rRNA from 1 species